AAUGGGAUGUACUUUCAUUUUUGUGUUGCUAGUAAACGAAUUGAAUUGAAGAUGAAGUUUCUGGUUGCCGUUUUGAUCGUUGUUGCUGUCAUUGGAGCUAACGCUUCCUAUAUUCCAAAACAUUUGACAAUUUUCGGCGAGAUCGACCAUAAAGACCUGUCUAAUUCCUCGAAAAUCAUUGGACAUCAAGUAAUUUACCAACUUGAUGAAAAUUGGGAACAACCAAAUGAGAAAAUUGUCGUUUUCCCAGAGCCCGGAUCACCUACAAAAAUCCAAUAUAUUCAAGCAAUAGCAUUCUACGAUAGUGUAUCGGGACCAUCCGAACUGGCAAUCGUCGAAGGUGGAAUCGGACAAAAUCACGUCGUUCUUCACAUUCGUUCGCAAUUGCCGCAUAAGGCUAUCGAUUCAGUCAUCAAAUUUUAUGGCAAAAAAGAAUAAAAAAUUGUGUUGUUAAAAGUAGCCCGAAGAUUGUCUUCACAAAAAUCUCUUUUUGCUCGAAUAAAAAUUACAUACUUAAGCUUAAGUGCAAAGUUUAAUUAAGUUCUUAACGGUAAUAAUCGGCAAUAACUAUCAUCUUAGUAAUUACUUAUUAAUCGGUAAUAAGAUCGAUAAUAAUUAUUACCAGUGGUAUUACUAGGUAAUAACACCGGUAAUUACGUUGUACCUUUGGGUAAGACUGAAACCCAAAGAAAUCAAAAUUGUAUUUACUUCCUCUGUAUUUCAAAUGUAAAAAUACCAACGGUCGAACAUAGCAAUUUCCGAACGAACGAUCGAACAAAUUUUUUUUUUCAUAAUUUUCGAACGAACGAACGAGCAAAAAAAAUAAUUUUCAACUUUUCGAACGAACGAACGAACUAAAUAAUUUUUUACAAAACUUUCGAACGAACGAACGAACAAAACAAUUUUUUUUUAUAUUGUCGAACGGUCGAACGAACGUCCGAAGCCAACACUAUACUGCGAAUCAAAAUUCGGCCAAAAGUGAUCAGUGGUUUCAAAGAUACAUGCGCAGCUGCAAAAUUAGGAGUCAUUCGACGACAAAACCACUGACAUUGGAAUCAUUCCAUUCCCGGCGGCAUAUUUUACAAGUUUUACACUUAUCAUAACUGCGAAAGCGAGUGCUUGGCCAAUUUUACGAAGAUCAAAUGCCAAGGGACAAUGGUACGAAAAUGUGCUCAAUGUUCAGCAAAUCAUGUUCUAUCUACGAUGCCAAGCGAAACCUUUCAAAUUCGCAUUUCUCGAGGAAGUGCGAUUGUUUGCCGUCUUGUACUUCCGUUUCAUACGACGUGGAGAUAUCGCAAGAUAAACUACCAAGAAGACGAUCCCUAUAAGACCAGGCUCAGCCAAGUGUCUGUGUCAUUUAAAACCAUUGGAACUUGUUCCAGUUCAGCGGCAUAGAAUCCGAGAUAGGUGUCCGUUCGAAAAUACAUACUGUAAAAUGAAACAUAGAAUUUUUCUUGUUUACAAAAAGUUCAAAAUGAUCGAAAUCAAUUGAAUUUUACUUGAUUGGCAGUGUUAACUGCCAUUUGUCUGGAGUCGGCGUGUUAAAGAGCACAUAGCCAAUUGGAUUGAGUACUGGUGGAAUUGGUGAAUUUGUAACGACUUUAGGCGAUUGCACGAACUAUAGAUUGGUUGGUACAAGUCGAGCAUACGAAAAGGCUUACAAAAAUACGAUUCGACGCAAAACGAUCAAAUUUCCAACGGGAUUUCAUCGGCCCGACUUCGUAAUUAGAGGCAUACGAUAUUCCGAUUAUGAAACGGUUCCGUCAAACGUAACCAUUGUGAAGGGUAACCUUGGCAGAAGACGCGUUUGGAUCAAAAUCAGAUCCCAACCAGGAUUAGCGAUCAAAGUGCUUUUCGAAUUUUGUGGAGAAAUCAUCUUACGACAAGAAAACGAUUAAUAGUUACUCCCAAAACUGAAAUCAUUUACGGUUGAACAUUUGAAACUUUAUUUUAUCAACGAACUAGUUCGUUUCGUGCUCUUUAAAAUUUCAAUCUGUUGAUUUUUGCAGCAAUUGUUUUUUCUCUCUAAACUUUCACAUAAUUCAUUGUUGAAAUAAAGUUUAUUUUUGCA